AAUAAUUUGUUGGAGAAUAAAAAAAAAUAAAUGAAAUACUUAUUUUAAGAAUAAAAAUGUCCAUUUAACAAUAAAAGGGAGAAAACUACCACUUUAAUAUAAUUGAGG